rnacentral:rRNA from 1 species
AACGAACGCUGGCGGCAUGCCUAACACAUGCAAGACGAACGAGACCUUCGGGUCUAGUGGCGCACGGGUGCGUAACGCGUGGGAACCUGCCCUUAGGUUCGGAAUAACUCCCCGAGAGGGGUGCUAAUACCGGAUAAUGUCUUCGGACCAAAGAUUUAUCGCCUUUGGAUGGGCCCGCGUUGGAUUAGCUAGUUGGUAGGGUAAAAGCCUACCAAGGCGACGAUCCAUAGCUGGUCUGAGAGGAUGAUCAGCCACACUGGGACUGAGACACGGCCCAGACUCCUACGGGAGGCAGCAGUGGGGAAUAUUGGACAAUGGGCGAAAGCCUGAUCCAGCACUGCCGCGUGAGUGAUGAAGGCCUUAGGGUUGUAAAGCUCUUUUACCCGGGAUGAUAAUGACAGUACCGGGAGAAUAAGCUCCGGCUAACUCCGU